rnacentral:rRNA from 1 species
UGAAUAAAAUUAAUUUAUUGAUUUAAUUUAUUUAAAAUUUAAUUUUGUUAAAAAUAAUUAUAAAAAUAAUUAGUUUAAGUAUUUUUUAAAUAAAAAAUAAUUUUUAUGAUAGUUCAUUUUGUAUAGUAUUAGAAAAUUGAAAUAAUUGAAAUUUAAUUAUAGAAAAAGAAAAUUUUACUUAUUGUACCUUGUGUAUCAGGGUUUAUUAAAUAAAAAAUAAAUAUUUAUUUUUCUCGAUUUUAAAAGAUUUAUUAAUUUAUAAAAUUUAAUGUUAUAUAAUUAUUAUAAAUAAAUUAUUGGUAAUGAAAUGUUAUUCGUUUUUAAAUAUAUCUAGUUUUUUAAGAAAUAAAUUUAAUUUAUAUAUUUGAAAGUUUAAAUAAAAUUUUUAAUAAUUUUAUUUAUUUUAAAUAUAAAUAUUUUUAGGGAUAAGCUUAAAAAUAAAAUUAAAAAUUAUAAAUAAAUUUUAAUAAAUAUAAGCUUAGAAUUAGUUAUUGUAAAAAAAUAUGUAAUAAUUUAUUUUAUUUAUAUAAUUAUUUAUUAUAUUUUAAAUUAUUAUUAAAAUAUUAAUUUAAAUUACAUUAAUUAAUAAAUUAUGAUAAAAUUAGUAUAAUAAAUUAUAAAAAUUAUUUAAUUGUUAAAAUUUUUAUUAAAGAAUUCGGCAAUUAUAGUGUUCACUUGUUUAUCAAAAACAUGUCUUUUAGAGGUUUAUAAAAAGUCUAACCUGCCCAUUGAAAUAAAUUAAAAGGCUGCGGUAUUUUGACCGUACAAAGGUAGCAUAAUCAUUAGUUUUUUAAUUGAAAACUUGUAUGAAUGGUUGAAUGAGAUACUAACUGUUUUAAUUAAAAUAUAGAAUUUUACUUUUUAAUCAAAAGGUUAAAAUGAGAUUAAAAGACGAGAAGACCCUAUAGAUUUUUAUAUUUAAUUUAAUAUUAAAAUUUUAGUUUAUUAAUUUUAUUAUUUUUUUAAUUAUUUUGUUGGGGUGACAAUAAAAUUCAAUAAACUUUUAUUUUUUUUUUUACAUUAAUAUAUGAAUUUUUGAUCCAUGAAUCAUGAUUACAAGAUUAAAUUACCUUAGGGAUAACAGCGUAAUUUUUUUUUAAGUUCUUAUUAGUAAAAAAGUUUGCGACCUCGAUGUUGGAUUAAGAUUAAUUUUAGGUGCAGCAGUUUAAAAUUUAAGUCUGUUCGACUUUUAAAUUCUUACAUGAUCUGAGUUCAAACCGGUGUGAGCCAGGUUGGUUUCUAUCUUUAAUAAAUAAAUAUAUUUUAGUACGAAAGGACCAAAUAUAUUAUAAAAUUAUUUAUAUUUUAAAGAAUAAUAUUAAAAUA